UCUGAGUAUACAGACCGGACACUCCUUCCACACAAGGUCGUUUGUCACCCCGGCGUCUCAGUGAAAGGCAUGGAUGACAAGUCAGAGGGAAAAAGCUAAUAAGCUCAGAGCUAAAAAUAGGCCGUGUGCUGGGUGCUGGGUGCGAAGGAAAAUUCAGGAAAAUGUCACUUCAUCCUCGGAAACAAAGACGGGAACGGCGGGAACCACCGUGAGUCUUCAGGAGACUUUUAGAGAGGAUGUGUGUGUGUGGGCUACUCAAGAUCUUCCACUCCAACCCCUGUCUUCAACGUAUAUGCAUAGAGAUGUUUCCAGAGGCAUUGUCAUGCCAGAACAGGUCCACAUCCGUCAAGUCUUAAUGCAAAACAGAAGCAGAAGCAGAAAUUCAUUCAAUCCUAUUUUUUUCAUGGUCCAUUUACUGCCCUCUGCUGCUCAUAACAAAUCAGUGCAUCUUCAAAAUAAAUAGUAAGCUGGGUUAAAAUAUGUAGAAAGCUUUUUUGUAAAAAAAAUCCAGAACACAGCAGGUUGGUUUUAUGAAAAAUCAUUCAUUUACAUGUAUAUAUUGUAUAUAAAGCAAUGAAGCAACUUACUGUAAUUUUGAUGUGUAAUUCAUUCAUUCUUUCUUUUACCUUCAAAAAAAUUACUUUUACUUUUGCUUCAUUUGUCACCAAAAAAUUCUCACUUUCUAGCACCUUUUCAUAUUUUGAGAAUGUUUCACGACAUCAAAUGAUUUAUAAUUGAAUAAA